rnacentral:rRNA from 1 species
GCUCUGGUGCUUGCACUGGGGUGGAUGAGUGGCGAACGGGUGAGUAAUACGUGAGUGACCUACCUUUGACUCUGGGAUAAGCCUGGGAAACUGGGUCUAAUACCGGAUAUGACUGGUGCCUGCAUGGGUGCUGGUGGAAAGCGUUAUGGAGUGGUUUUAGAUGGGCUCACGGCCUAUCAGCUUGUUGGUGAGGUAAUGGCUUACCAAGGCGACGACGGGUAGCCGGCCUGAGAGGGUGACCGGCCACACUGGGACUGAGACACGGCCCAGACUCCUACGGGAGGCAGCAGUGGGGAAUAUUGCACAAUGGGCGCAAGCCUGAUGCAGCGACGCCGCGUGAGGGAUGACGGCCUUCGGGUUGUAAACCUCUGUUAGCAUCGAAGAAGCGAAAGUGACGGUAGGUGCAGAGAAAGCGCCGGCUAACUACGUGCCAGCAGCCGCGGUAAUACGUAGGGCGCGAGCGUUGUCCGGAAUUAUUGGGCGUAAAGAGCUUGUAGGCGGUUUGUCGCGUCUGCUGUGAAAGGCCGGGGCUUAACUCCGUGUAUUGCAGUGGGUACGGGCAGACUAGAGUGCAGUAGGGGAGACUGGAACUCCUGGUGUAGCGGUGAAAUGCGCAGAUAUCAGGAAGAACACCGAUGGCGAAGGCAGGUCUCUGGGCUGUAACUGACGCUGAGAAGCGAAAGCAUGGGGAGCGAACAGGAUUAGAUACCCUGGUAGUCCAUGCCGUAAACGUUGGGCACUAGGUGUGGGGGACAUUCCACGUUUUCCGCGCCGUAGCU